CCGGCGACCGGCGCACGGGUGAGUAACACGUAUGCAACCUGCCCUCUUCAGGGGGACAACCUUCCGAAAGGGAGGCUAAUCCCGCGUAUAUCGGUUUCGGGCAUCCGAGAUCGAGGAAAGAUUCAUCGGAAGAGGAUGGGCAUGCGGCGCAUUGCUAGACGGCGGGGUAACGGCCCACCGUGGCGACGAUGCGUAGGGGUUCUGAGAGGAAGGUCCCCCACACUGGUACUGAGACACGGACCAGACUCCUACGGGAGGCAGCAG
rnacentral:rRNA from 1 species